UGGAGAGUUUGAUCCUGGCUCAGAUUGAACGCUGGCGGCAGGCCUAACACAUGCAAGUCGAACGGUAACAGGGAGCAGCUUGCUGCUCUGCUGACGAGUGGCGGACGGGUGAGUAAUGUCUGGGAAACUGCCUGAUGGAGGGGGAUAACUACUGGAAACGGUAGCUAAUACCGCAUAACGUCUUCGGACCAAAGUGGGGGACCUUCGGGCCUCAUGCCAUCAGAUGUGCCCAGAUGGGAUUAGCUAGUAGGUGGGGUAAAGGCUCACCUAGGCGACGAUCCCUAGCUGGUCUGAGAGGAUGACCAGCCACACUGGAACUGAGACACGGUCCAGACUCCUACGGGAGGCAGCAGUGGGGAAUAUUGCACAAUGGGCGCAAGCCUGAUGCAGCCAUGCCGCGUGUAUGAAGAAGGCCUUCGGGUUGUAAAGUACUUUCAGCGAGGAGGAAGGGGUUGUGGUUAAUAACCGCAGUCAUUGACGUUACUCGCAGAAGAAGCACCGGCUAACUCCGUGCCAGCAGCCGCGGUA
rnacentral:rRNA from 1 species